AAGUCGUAACAAGGUUUCCGUAGGUGAACCUGGGGAAGGAUCAUUACCGAGUGCGGGCUGCCUCCGGGCGCCCAACCUCCCACCCGUGACUACCUAACACUGUUGCUUCGGCGGGGAGCCCCCCAGGGGCGAGCCGCCGGGGCACCACUGAACUUCAUGCCUGAGAGUGAUGCAGUCUGAGCCUGAAUACAAAUCAGUCAAAA
rnacentral:misc_RNA from 1 species